AUGAUAUAUUCAAAGAUGGUGUCCCUGUUGAUGAUGUUUCUAAUUCUCAAACAAAUGGGAAAGUUAUAUAACUAUACCAAGGACUUCACUGGGACUAAACGUCUGAGUGUGAAGAGAGGAGUUGACAGCUUUAACCUGACCAUAUCGAAGACACAGUUUAUUUAUUUUUGUUUAACCUUUAUUUAACUAGACAAGUCAGUUAGGGGACUCAGCUACAUACUACUCUGCUGCUAUUUAAAUGGACAAAGUCAAAGAUUUAGAGUCCAAGAGCAGCCAGGAGACUCUGUGACUCUGAACUGUACAAUACACACUGAGACCUGUGUAGGAUAACAGUGUCUAUUGGUUCAGACAUGGCUCAGGAGAAUCCUGCUCAGGAAUCAUUUACACCCAUGGAGACAGGAGUGAUCAGUGUGAGAAGAGCUCUGAGGCUGGGUCUCCUACACAGAGCUGUGUUUACAACCACCCCAAGAGGAUCCUCAGCCUCUCUGAUGCUGGGACUUACUACUGUGCUGUGGGGAGAUACUGUUUGGGAACAGGACCAAGCUGGACAUUCAUAAGAACUGCAGAGUGAAGGAAAAGCAUCCAACAAGUGCUCAACAUAUGUGGGAACUCCUUCAAGACAGUUGGAAUAUCAUUCCAGGUGAAGCUGGUUGAGAGUAUGCCAAUAGUGUGCAAAGCUGUCAUCAAGGCAAAGGGUGGCUACUUUGAAGAAUCUAAAAUAUUUUGGUUACUAUAUGAUUCCAUAUGUGUUAUUUCAAUGUUUUAUGUGUUCACUAUUAUUCUACAAUGUAGAAAACAGUAAAAAUAAAGAAAAACCCUUGAA